rnacentral:rRNA from 1 species
CUCUCUAUGGCUCCAUAUAGAGUAAAGCCUGCCCAAUGUGAUUAUUCUCAUCAAUGGCCGCGGUACUUUGACCGUGCGAAGGUAGCAUAAUCAUUUGUUUUUUAAUUAAAAACUAGCAUGAAAGGCUAAACGAAGCUCAGCUGUCUCCUUUAUAUAAAAAAAAAUUAAUUUUAAUGUGAAGAAGCAUUAAUACCCUCAAAAGACGAAAAGACCCUGUUGAGUUUUAGUACAAGAAUUAAUUAAAUCCCUCUGUUACUUUUGUUGGGGCGACACAGGAGUAACAAACCCUCCUUUCUCCUUACUCACUUGGAUCUACGACCCAAAACAUCUAAUAAAUAUUCUUGACCACCAGACAAAUUACCACAGGGAUAACAGCGUUAUUUUUUUUGAAAGCCCUAAUUAACAAAAAAGUUUGCGCCCUCGAUGUUGGACUAAGGACUCCCUAGGGGGCAGCCCCCUUAGUAAAUAGUCUGUUCGACUAUUAAACCCUUACA